GCGUGGUUAUUGGUAGUUCAGUGGUAGAAUUCUCGCCUCCCACGCGGGACACCCGGGUUCGAUUCCCGGCCAAUGCA